CUCUCUUUUGGUGGAGUCCGUUGUUGAGGUGAGUCUCCGAUCUCUGACUGGGUCUCGCCCUUUUUUGCGUUCCAUCUUCGAAAAUUUCUGAGUAUGUGUGCCGAUUCCACUACGGUAGCAGGAUUUGGGAGUUGGUGCCAAACGAACGCAAGCCACAUUGUCAAGGGAAGCGAAGGGUUAGUCCAGACUGAAUCUGUCCAAGGACAGAGUAAGAACGAGUGCUCCACUGUUCCGGCUUCUUGAUUGCAAAAAGGGCAUGUAGGCUGAGGCAUAACAAUGUUGGUUCGAGACUAAUGCUAAGUUCUGACAUUCUCUGACUUUUCCAUCCAAGAAGAUGAUUGAAUCAUCAGCAAACAAAAGGAAAUGAGAGAACUUGAAAUUCUGAUUGACCGCCCGAUGCAUCGAAUCCAACGUCAGCAAGAUCUCGAUUUUCACUCCAUUAUGAGUCCGCGCAUGCACAUCUACGAAAGAGACGAGUAAGUCUUUUCUUCGUUUCGUAGAAUUGGUCCGUAGAAUUGAUCCACCAUAAAUCAUUUUCUUGAUAUUUUUGCCUAAUUGUUUUUUAGUCAUAUGGCAUCCGAAUUGAAAGAACUUGCCAGAGAACAUAAUUCGGUGGUCGCCAUCGUAGGUAAAUUCCAUGUUUGCGAUAUCAAGGAGCGAUGGAAUUAGCGGUUAGUCGACUUGUGUUCUUUACUAUCUAAUGU